rnacentral:snRNA from 1 species
UGGCUUUGGCAGCAAAUAUACUAGAACUGGAAUGAUACAGAGAUCGGCCCGGCCCCUGCACAAGGAUGACAUGCAAACAAAUUCAUGAAGUGUUCCAUAUUUUU